UAGACAUUAUUCACCUACGCAGACAGGAAAUCACACACGCGCACACACAUACGCAUACAUUCACAUACACACAGACACAUACACACAUACAUAAACUCAUAUCUGCCCACAUGACAUUUUUCUUACAAGCAGGCACACAUAUCCACACACAUACAAUGACUGUGUUUCUCCUGGUUCUCAGCUAAGGAUCCAUGUUAAAAACAAAAUAAAAGCAAUUUCCAACAUGCUCACUGCUCCUUUCCAAAAGGAACAGAAGCCCCCCAAAAAUCCCUGAAUAACUACAGACUGUGCAAACACAGAGACUAUAAAUAAACAGGCCAUUCGCUGCUUUCAGAUGAGAUCAUUGUAAUUACAGGGAGCUGCAGUUGAGAACUCUCUCUCUCUCUCUCUCUCCCUCUCUCUCUCUCUCCCCCUUUUGUCUGUCUCACGUUUUCGUCCAAGGCAAUUUGACUGAUGAUUGUUGCUUGGAACUACAAAAGUGGAGUUACAUGUUUCAGGACGGACAUAUCAUACUGUGGCGCAGUAAUGGAAACAGUGGGGCCGCAUGGUUCAGAUUUCAGAGAGUCACGUGUCUCAUAUGCUUCAGGGUGAUGCGUUUCAUAUGCUGCAGUAACCUCAGCAGCUUGCACUGAACCUUACUCGCUCAUUCCUACGGAGACUAUUACCGGAGAAGGAAGUGAGAUGUGGUCCUUUUUUCCAGACUCUGAAUGGUUGUGGUGCCAGCAUUUCUGCCGAACGCACUCAGGCCAAACAGUGGAGAAGGGCUUCCCUCUGCUGCUAAUUGACCCAUAAAAGCAACAAAGGGAGGCCACUAAUCCACAGCGAGGGGAGAUUGGGACGGAAUCUCGCCGUUUUACGGCUCCAGAAGUUUUACAAGUUUUACAGUUCUUGGAAAUAUGGAGCUCACACAGGGCGGUGCACUCACGAAUGCAGAUGGUGGAGAGGAGGCGUGUGGCGAUGUAUGGAGGCAGGCAGUUGGGGAAAGCCGGCUGCAGCACGUAGUUGGAGAAGAUAAAUGUUCCAGAUGGGAAUUCCAGGUGAGCGAUCCAGACGAGUGUUCCAGAUAAGAGUUCAAAUUAUUGUCACGGAGUUUGUUUGAGAAACAUAGGGAGAGGAAGACGCUGUUAUUGAUGGGUUUGAGCACUGUUACAAGACUGGCACCUCCCUCAUCUCUGGAUCACUGCUACAUGAGCAGAGGCGUCCUUUCCGACGCAGACCUCACAAUGCUGUCCGCCGCUACUGCAUGUAAUCCAUCACUCACCGACAAUAAAUGUAACUAUUUUAUGGUUCCAUUUUGGCUUUUGUUGACAUCUGUAAGUACAUGUUUUUGCAGUUCAUUAGCCUGUCCUGUUGUGGAUGGUAAGUGUGUGAACAAACUCAGACACACACUUUACUUCUGCUGGUGAAAACUUCAGAACUCAUCAAUAUAUACUAGUAGCAAAGGUUACACUCAGAUGACCUUCAUUUGGACCUUCUGGCACUGAUGUUUUCAAAUGUUGAAAUUCUCUUUCUUGUCUUCUGUUGGCCUUAUCUGAAUGCUUUUGAUGAAGGUCAUCCACCAGUCCACUUUCAUUAACCCACCAAGAUACACACACGCAUACACACUUUGACUCUCCAUAUUCCAGUAUUGGAAGAGGAGGGAGAAAGACUAAAGUCCUUGCCUUUGGUUUCUGUAGGAUGUGAUUGACACAAGGCAGAUCUGAGGAAAAUUACGUGUUACAAAAAAUGUUACCAGCUUUUUGUAGGACUCGAAGAUGUAAAACAUCAUCCAACAACCGUAUCAAAUUAACUCCUUGGGAUACUGUAAAUGACUCCGAGAAGAUUAUAAAUCAGUAAACCACGCUGAAGUCCAUAUGUCUGCGAAAUUUGCGUUGACAGAUAGUACCACAUGGCGUCCGCUUACUGCUCUGCAAAAAUGAGUAUAGCGUGGCACCACGUGCUCCUCUUAAGUUCCUCUUAAUUUACAUUGGGGAAAAAUAGCAUAAGUCGGACUAAUGUGUAAUUGAAUAAAGUACAGUAGUGAUCUGAA